CAUUUUCUUCUUAGUUUCCCACUCCCCUUGAAGUUUCUGCGGGUGUGGAUUGCAAAUUGACAACUGAUUUUCAAGAGGGAGGAAGAAGCACGAAUGACCACCAAAUAAUCCAAGAAGACACCCACCUUCAUCACAUACGCUAACACUUUGGAGUCCUUAAAGCCAUGGGUCGAUCGUAUGCAUCGAGGAAUAUAUCCAGCUGUGUGGAUUAACAGGACGUCAGGAAAAUGGGGUGAUCACACAUUGAUGAUCGGCAUCAAAGAGGAAACAAAGAAUUCCAUGGAAAGGGGCCAUCAAGAUCAGAAACCCUCCUCUACUUCAGUCUAAAAGAGCCAGAAUUGUUUCAAUAUACAGUCUCCACUAUGAAAUGAGUAAGUCAAGCCUUGAGCUUAAUUUCCAACACAAAAGCCCACAAUCUGCUUCAGUUUCAGACACAAUAAAGAGCAACGUGUUGGAUUUCUCCCUAAUCUAUCGACAAAGACCAAAACGAUCGAACUUUUGCUUCCUCCUAUUUUACAUCCUAAGCCUAUUUCCAUCACCCCGGCGAAAUGCAGCGGCGCUUCUGUAGCACGGAUAAAUCGAAUGCCCAAAUACAGAAUUCCGAAACCAGACACGCAAACCAGACGCACCUGUGCUUCUCUUCAGAAAGAGCCACAAUUCUGCGAUAUCCCUGUACAUCAAGGAGAUCAGACUUAAGGUCAUCCUGUCACAAAUCAAUCGGCUGCAAAUCGCUCCAGAGAGGCGGUGACCUAUUAUGGGGAAGCCUGUCUUCAGCGCACAAAGGGAGAGCAAAACUCCAUCUUUCAGUCCAAGAUGAGCCACAGAGGAUACGAUACCUCUCUUUGAAUCACACGCAAAGCACAAGUGGCUUCCAGAGGGAUCGGAAACCCAGGGGCUUCGCUGCUCUGGGGCUUCUGAUUUUGCUUUUGCUGAACAAAGAAACGAGAAGAUAUCGGACUCGAUUCAUUUAUUUGCCGUAUAGGAGUGCGUUUAACUGUUGAGUGACUGUUGGGACAAGAGCGUAUGGAAACAAGCGGUUCUGGGUCUGCUGAUGUUGUAUGUCAAAAACCUCCCUACCAGAGCCCUGUCUUUAACCAGUGGUAACCUAUCCAGAAAAGCCAUCUUUCCUUGCCUCAAUCCCUCCCCUUUCUCACUUCAGGAAAUAUACAGCCUAACAGCCUGCUUUCUUUCUCCGAGAUCGUUAUGAGUCAACUUUCUCUCUGCGUUCAUUUUAUCACAUAUAGGAAGGAAGACCUUUUCUCCUUCUAAUGGCUGGAGGAGAGCAAUAACAAGAGUGACUGAUCAGCUGAUCAGGAUUUGGAGAAAAUACGGAAAACCUCCCAAGACAACAUUAAUCCAAAGUAAAAGAUGCCGCUGGGGAAAAAACAAAAUACCCUUCCAAGAUGAUAUUGCCACACAAGGUAUAGGC